rnacentral:rRNA from 1 species
GAUUAAGUUAUUAAGGGCGCACGGUGGAUGCCUUGGCACUAGAAGCCGAUGAAGGACGUUACUAACGACGAUAUGCUUUGGGGAGCUGUAAGUAAGCUUUGAUCCAGAGAUUUCCGAAUGGGGAAACCCAGCACGAGUUAUGUCGUGUUAUCUGCAUGUGAAUACAUAGCAUGCAAGAAGGCA